UCAAGUGAGUGAAGUGAGCCUGU
rnacentral:piRNA from 1 species